AGUGAACGCUGGCGGUAGGCCUAACACAUGCAAGUCGAACGGCAGCACAGUAAGAGCUUGCUCUUACGGGUGGCGAGUGGCGGACGGGUGAGGAAUACAUCGGAAUCUACUUUUUCGUGGGGGAUAACGUAGGGUAACUUACGCUAAUACCGCAUACGACCUACGGGUGAAAGCAGGGGAUCUUCGGACCUUGCGCGAUUGAAUGAGCCGAUGUCGGAUUAGCUAGUUGGGGUGGUAAAGGCCCACCAAGGCGACGAUCCGUAGCUGGUCUGAGAGGAUGAACAGCCAAACUGGAACAGAGACACGGUAAAGAAUCCUACGGGAGGAAGAAGUGGGGAAUAUUGGACAAUGGGCGCAAGCAUGAUACAGAAAUACCGCGUGGGUGAAGAAGGACUUCGGGUUGUAAAGACCUUUUGUUGGGAAAGAAAAGCAGCAGGUUAAUACCCCGCUGUUAUGACGGUACCAAAAGAAUAAGCACCGGCUAACUUCGUG
rnacentral:rRNA from 1 species